AGAUUGAACGCUGGCGGCAGGCCUAACACAUGCAAGUCGAGCGGAAACGAGUUAUCUGAACCUUCGGGGAACGAUAACGGCGUCGAGCGGCGGACGGGUGAGUAAUGCCUAGGAAAUUGCCCUGAUGUGGGGGAUAACCAUUGGAAACGAUGGCUAAUACCGCAUAAUGCCUACGGGCCAAAGAGGGGGACCUUCGGGCCUCUCGCGUCAGGAUAUGCCUAGGUGGGAUUAGCUAGUUGGUGAGGUAAGGGCUCACCAAGGCGACGAUCCCUAGCUGGUCUGAGAGGAUGAUCAGCCACACUGGAACUGAGACACGGUCCAGACUCCUACGGGAGGCAGCAGUGGGGAAUAUUGCACAAUGGGCGCAAGCCUGAUGCAGCCAUGCCGCGUGUGUGAAGAAGGCCUUCGGGUUGUAAAGCACUUUCAGUCGUGAGGAAGGUAGUGUAGUUAAUAGCUGCAUUAUUUGACGUUAGCGACAGAAGAAGCACCGGCUAAC
rnacentral:rRNA from 1 species